UGUGUUAGGUUCUGGGGUUUUUUAGGUGGUCCUUUGGUUGCUGAGUUAUCUCCCCACUAGAUGGAGUCCGAGAGGUGGCGGGCUGGGAUUUCAUGGAUGAUGUCAUCCCCUCACCGGAGGCUGAUCACCUAAUUGACGGCAGCAUAAGAAGGGUGGAACGCCGGUACUUCGACGCCAGAGUGUCAACCUUAGAUGGAUCCUACUUCAUCUGGUUGCCUGACUACUGGUUCUCCAACGACGUCAUGGGAUCUUACCCCAUAGAUGCCUGAAAGCCAGACCUCACCAGUCACUGUAAGAUUCUGCCUGCCAUUCAGAAGUCUCCGACCGGCCGUUCCGCCUAGACUCAGCCGCUUACGAGGACAAGCCUCCCUGUCCGCCCUCCAACGCCACUCACCGAACCACCAACCUCCUCCGAGGAGCAGAUCCAUAAGUUAGAAAGAACUCCAGGACCAACCAACCCCCUCCAAGCCGUUAGAACGCUCUGCUCCAUGCACCCAGAUCAGCCAAGCGGUUUUCCGGACCAGCCUUCCUUUAAGUGUUGCUUGCUGUAAUAAAAUUUUCUUUUUUUUUACAUCCGUCUCUUUGGUGUUCCUGCAUGUGGGUAAAAUCCGUUAAACCCAUCAUGACACUCUGGGACAAACUUCUAGCAAACUGCAAAAAUGCUGAAAUACUGAGUUCCUUUGAAUCAAGGCUAAAAGCACAUUUGUAC